UAAGGCUACAAAUACUUGGGAUGCGAAUUAAGCAUUUAGUUGUGUAUUAAUUAAUUUUGCUCUAAUGUAAGUCCAUUUAAUUUGAUCCUUUGUUCUUGCUCUCGUCACAGAAUGAGAAACGCUCUGGGGAGGAAGAGAAACAAGUACCCCCCUUCUGCCCCAGACUUCAGUUAGGGAGCUCCAAACCUGAGCACACGCUGUCAGAGUAGCUGGAGAGGGGAAUAAA
rnacentral:lncRNA from 1 species